AGGACUGGAAAUGUUGCAGAUUUUUCAGCAGAGCUGCACUGAAUACUAGAAUGAUGAAUCAGUGACUGCAGGAGCAUCUAAUUCAAUUAAAGUUCUGCAUCAAAGAACUGUGGCUGUCAACAUUAGCAACAAGGCACUGUUCUUGCUCAACUCGAGGCAUUCUCAGAGGAAAAGGACAUUUCUGAGCACUGGGAAUAUCAUCACAGAGCCUGCACCAAACAGUGGGAAGGUAAUUUGCAGUAGCCGAGGACUACGCUACAUCACCUUUGUAUGCACUGUGCUCUGUGGUUUUGCAUUCCUAUGCAGUGAGUAGGACCCCGGCUGCUAUGGAGGAAAGCCAUCAUCUUCUCUCAGAUGCUGUCAUGGGACUGUUUGGUGAUUCCUGGCCAGGGCUCCUUGUUGGACUCGCAUGACAUCCAGCACAAGUGGCACAGUGCCUACGGCUGCCAGACCUGGCCAGGCCCAUGUUGCUGUACGUCUUCAGGCCAUUUCUAGCACUAGCCUGAGUCAGCGGUGACACAGGUUUUUUGCCCGCACUAGGCUUCCAAGCAAGCCUAGGAGCUUUGCUACUUACACAAAAUCUACUCCCCUGUAUCUCUCCCAUCUCUGUUUUCUGGGAUGGCUAGAUUAAUGCUACCAAAUAGGCCUGUGUGGGAUGGAGCCCUAUUUUCUCCUUUUACUGUAGGCCUAAUACACUGCUCCAGUACCCUCCAUAGGCAGAGAGCAGUCGCAGGGUGAGAAGAGCACGUUAUGCUUUCCGAUACACCUGUAAUCGUUUGCAAGAUCACACUGUGGAGCAAGGCUUUCCCAGCUUCCUUAACAUCCGUGAGCCAGACCCCUCGUCUGGAGUAACUUGGCAGUUCUCCACAGAGUCAACGGAGCGCAGCCAAACUGCAGCAGUGGAGAGCUGGGCCCUGCAUCUUGAAGUACCUCCAUCAGUUCCUGAAGUGCGCUGGGGGAAAUCUUCCUUGUGAUGCAUCACAGACAACCACGAAGGACUCUGGCAGGAGAUGUAUUGCUCUGAAGCAUAGCUGGGCUUAUCACAACCCCUUCACCACUCCUAAAGCAGCCUGGGACUUUGUAUCUCGUCAUGUGUGUCCUGCCAUUCAGCCUGCUCCUGGACGAAGUAUUCUGCAUCUUUAAUGCUGAAGAAAUCUUACUGCUAUUACAUCUUGAAGCUGUUAAUAAAAAAAUAUUAAGGAGAGAAGAAAUCCUUAAACACUUGUGCUCCUGAAUCCCUUCCCUGCCUCUGUCCUAUGAUACAAAUGUUUUACUGAGGUGCACAGAGCUGGUACGAGCAAGAAGUCCCAGCGUCUGCUUCUCCAUUGCUCCCUGUGGGGUUCACCUGUUCAGCCUUCUCUCUACUAAUGGCAAUAAGGAGCUGUCAGGAACAAUCUGCCUGUAAUUGUUUCGAUGGGAGCCUGGAAAAGAUCUCUUAGUCCUUUGACCAUAUGGACAUAUGACCAGCAUGAGAUGAUAUGACCAUCCCCUUAAAGAGAAGGCUUUACAUGCAAAAGGCAAAGACAAUUCCUCUGAAGUUUGGUAACGUGUUGACAGCCUUAACCUAGGUAACCCCUGGGGGAAGACCUCAUCAACAUCACUUGAAACCAGCUGCCAACUGAAUGCUCUAAAUAGGAGAGGACCCCAUUUGUUUUCUUCAGCACCACUUCACCAUCUGCCUAGUUUAGUUGUGGAAGAACCCCAGGACCAAACUGUCUCUCAUACGUAAUGGAGACUCAGUUGCUGUUAAUGAAGUCCUGAAUUUAUAUUCUUUCCAUGUAUGGAAAAUUCUCAUGUCUGCAGUGAUGAACCUCAAAAAAAUAUGUGGAUGGAUAUGUACUCAUGUCCAUUCCUGAUAUGGAGACGCGUAUUUUAGAAGAAGACUUCUACUGUUGUAGUCUUUUAUUGUAUUUUCUUAUUUGCUCUUGUUCCAUUUUAAUUUUAUUUUGGCCAGUGGAGGAAUUGAGUAAAACUUCUCCAUCACAAAUCAGUCUCCCUAACUUAUAGAAAUGGAAGUUAAAGUAAAGCGGGUUUUGAAGUCCAGGGUCAUAUAAUGAAUUUUCAUGUCAGUAUAGUAUUUUCAUGGUGAGAGGAAGAGAUAUUAUUGAACCUUCAUCAGAGAGGGGCAAAAGGAGAAUGAGGUCAGUGUCCCUUUAAAUGUCCCGCACAGGUUGCAUGAAAGCAAGAUUAUAUCAGUCUCAGGAUGCCAAGGUUUUAUUUAUAAAAAUAAAUUCUUCCAGAAAAUGUCCCAAACUGGUGUCAUGUUUCUGAGUGCUAAUGGCUACAUUAGCAGUUAGCUGCAGUUGUACAUAUGUCCACCCAUCUGCCUUACGACUUUGUAUCGGAGGAAGGUGCUGUGCGUUAAUUACCCUAUGUAAAAGUCUGCUUUUAAUGUGUGUAAAGAAAAGGAUUGCAGGUGGUGGUGAGACACUGGGCUAGAACCACUCAUCGCUGGCCAG